GGGCGUGUAGCUCAGGUGGUUAGAGCGUCACACUGAUAAUGUGAAGGUCGGAGGUUCGAGUCCUCCCACGCCCACCA
rnacentral:tRNA from 3 species